rnacentral:lncRNA from 1 species
CAGCUCCAUUCUGGGAAUAAUUUUGCUUAUUAAACUAGAGCCCUGUCUCAGGUGGCUGGCUGUUGGGUUAAAGAGCAAAGGAAAUGAAUAAAAGCACAUAGCCAUGAACAAAGAGGAUCUGGCUUAUUUAAUGUACUUACUUCUGACAAACUCACGGCUGGAUUUCUUAUCUGUGGAAGCAAGUUCCUACUGAACCUUCUGAAGCAGGAGCAGAAUUUGAGAGGAUCCUGAAUCCUGACAAACCCUAUCCUGCAGGCCGGCCGACAGCACUGCAAGGACAGCAGCAUCCAGGCCUGAACCUGUGACCCCAACUCCGCGAGCGGGGCUGUUACCCACUCUUGAGACUGCCGGCAUUAAGAUCCUCUCAUUACUGGCCAUGCAGAUUGUUCCCGGCGAUAAUGAGGUGGCAAGAGAAGAAACCAUCCUGGGGGAACUUCUGAGAGCCAAGCCUUCGACAGUAGAUGAAUUCCUAACCUGCCAUUUUAAAAACUGUCUCUCCAAAUUGCUAGGAAUAUUUUUUUUCCAGGGAAGCUUUGACCCUUCUCUUUAUCUUUCUUUUUAGACUAUGUGCUGAAAGAGGUAGAAAUCCAUACUCACUCACCCCUUUCUUCCCUUGCAUCUUUGUUUUCAUCUCCAUCCUUCUCUUGCCUCCUUUCUCUCCCUUUUUGCCUCUUUUCCCUUUUUCCCCUUUGUUCCUUCUCUUUUUUUCCAUUUAUUCUCCUAUCCUUUCACACAGCAUAGAGAUGCAAGCUUUGGAACAAAAUACAUUAUGGGUCCAAAUUGCAGCUCUGCUCCCUGGUAAUUAGGGAUUUGGGCAAGAUUAUCAAUUUUUUUUUUUUUUUUUUGGAGCCUCUGUUAUUUAUCUGAAAAUGGAGACUAAAAUUUUCAGGGUUUUAAGGUUAUUAAAUGACCUUAUUUAUAGAAAGAGGCCUGUUAAGGUAUAUGGGCACAUAACUGGCAUAGAAUAAAUGCAGGUACCUUCCUGUAUUCAGCAAGGCUUUAUUGAGUUAAGUCCAUGAUAUAUGUAAAGUCCUGUGGUAGAUACCAGAGACAGAAUAAGUUUUGGUUUCUUCUGUUAAGUAAGUUUUCCAUUUUGAUACUGAAGAAAAGCCUGGGAAUUCUGGAUUUUCUUAAACUAAAUAAAGAUAAAUAUUUUUCCUAGUGUAUAUCAAAUAUCCAAUUGGCUAUAACUAACUUCUUUUCUCAAAGCUAAGCAAACUGAGGCAAAGGACAUCACGGCAAUUGAAAUGUUUAUAUCGUCCAAAUCAUUUACUUGGGUGACAUCUUGUCCCUCCCAUAGAACACAUUUACAUAAAGAAGAACUUCUUUUUUUGUUGUUGAUUUUAUUUUCUGUUGAUUUUUUUUUCGAAGGUAGGAUUAUGAACUACUUUAAGGCCCUCUGAAACUAGGAAGGAUGUGAGUAAAGUACAAUGUCAUAUCAUUAUUUUUAUUUGCAUUUUUUAAAUUACUAAUGAGGUUGAACACAUUUCCACAUUAGUUUCA